UACGAAGGGGGCUAGCGUUGUUCGGAUUUACUGGGCGUAAAGCGCACGUAGGCGGAUCGUUAAGUCGGGGGUGAAAUCCUGGAGCUCAACUCCAGAACUGCCUUCGAUACUGGCGAUCUUGAGUCCGGAAGAGGUAAGUGGAACUGCGAGUGUAGAGGUGAAAUUCGUAGGAUAUUCGCAAGAACACCAGUGGCGAAGGCGGCUGACUGGUCCGGUUCUGACGCUGAGGCGCGAAAGCGUGGGGAGCAAACAGG
rnacentral:rRNA from 1 species